rnacentral:lncRNA from 1 species
GCGGAAAAUAAGCGGAGAAGGUAAAGGCAGAGUAAAAUGCAGCUCUUCCUCCUGCUCCUCUCCUCCAGGACUCCGAGCGUUGCAAUACCGCUGCAGGGAUUGAUAAGAGUUGUGGAAAAAAAAAAGCAACAAAGCUAAGAUAGCAAGGUAACACUGUGUUCACAACCUUACAGCUCUGUUGCAAGAAAAUGGAUCAUGAAGAAAGGAGAUAGAAAUGGCCCUUGGGGCCAUAUUUUCAUCUCAGCAACAUUAGUGUUAAUCCUAAGUUUCACAUAACAUGAGGUUGACCCACUCCCUUCAGCCUUCUAUUUUACAUACUUCCUGGAUGCCACAGAGUAUUUUGGGAAUGGAAACCUGUCAUGAUGGACUCAAAGAUUUAGUCCCAGAUUUACUGCAACAUGGUGUGCUGUUGAUUUCUCACAAAGAAGUCACCAGAAACAUAAUUUUGAGAAGCUUUUGCUCUGAAAGAAAUGACGUGAUUACAGCUCAGAAGCUAAGGAAGCUGCUAAAAACCAUAAGAGUGAAGUUUGAGAGGACUCCAGCAUACUAAGGAUGCAUCUCUAUGAUACAUUCACGCCACUCUGGAAUCUUCCUUCAUUUAUUUGGCAGGUUAGUUUGUUCUAGAACAUGUCUUAGGAAAAAAUGUCCUACUUCUGAUGGCUCUGCAGCUUGUUGUUUAUCUUGAUUGACAAUCUGUG